UGCAGAGUAAAAAGGACCCGAGGGAGUACAUGGAAGGAGGGAGUAUGAUUUAGAUGUGACUUAGUUAAUUCUCAUCUAGAUGACAGCUAGCCACGUUGUCAAAUCUGUAUCAUUUCGAUUUAAAAAAAACCGUAUCAUCUCGGCUUGGGUUUCUUUGAGUUCCUUCUCUUUUGUUUCUGUGCGCACGCUACAACUUCGAUUUUCCAAAUAUUGAUCCUGUAGGUAGUUCUGGUUGCCAAUUCAGUGCCAACUUUGAAGUUGCAACUUAAGCUCCAAAGGUACGAGCUUAAAAUUUAUUCUCCUUGCCAAUCCUUAUAUAUGCCUCUAAUUUAUGCUUUGUUUGUUAUGUAUCACUGCAUUGUGGAUCAAUUGGAAAACUGCGGAAGCAGGGCGGCUUUAUAGUCGAUCUAUAUGGCAUUAUUGCUAGAUCCAGUGUCAGACACCUACCUCAAUUUUAAGUGAAAGGCUGCGGGAGUUACUAUUGCUAACUGGGCGGCUGUAGAACCGACGAAAGAAGCUGUGCAGUAUGCAGUUGCUUACCAGCCUGUUGUGGCAUCUAUCUACACUAACAGCAAAUUUAGGAGAUACAGCAAGGGUUUUCUUGAAGUUCCUCGCAAUCCUGGUCCAGUUAACCACUCUGUGCUUCUACUCGGAUAUGGUGAGUGUCCACUACAGGGCGAAUGCUGGAUCGGCAUAAGUUCGUACCGAAACCGAAGGCGAUGGGGCAUAACAUGGCGGGGCCAGUACCGUAACAUCUUCUUUCUACCGAGGAACACGUGUCAUGUGGAGGGGGCUCUCAGAGUCCUAACCAAUGUUGUUCUUCCCCUGGGAGCUUCUAUGGUUCCUAAGGUUAAAACUCGAAGUGAGAGCUGCCCUGCCUGUUUCAAGUAGGUGGGCUUACGAUGGACUACUAAUGCUGCUGGUGGCUCGUCACACUCCAGUGUUUCUAUUGGUUUGAGUUCUGUUUGGAAUCUGUGCUACCUGCUUCAAUUGGCUCGAGCUCUUUUUGCUGAUUUGUGAUAUGAUGUUUUUGUUUGGAGUCUGAGCUACCAGUUCAAUUGGCUCCGUGCUCUUUUUGAUCAACUUAUGAUCCGAUGCUGCACUUAGACCAUUGUGUCUCAAGUCAUGUAUUACCUCCGUCCCAAAUUACUACUCUUUGACACUACACCAGUGUCAAAAAGGGUCUUACAUUAUGGGACGGUCGAAGUAGAUUUUAUUGUUAUUAGAUACAACCAUAUCUACACAAAUAUGGGAGACGUAAAUUGGGACGGAAAGAGUAUAACAAGAUGAUGUUGAGUAGGUACCAACAACUUGGAUCAGCAAUUUAUAGAAGCGAAGUACCUUUCACUUAAAA